GAUGAACGCUGACAGAAUGCUUAACACAUGCAAGUCAUUGGCGAAGCUGCGCUUGCGCAGUCUAGCCAAGGCGGACGGGUGAGUAACGCGUAAGGAACUUGCCCUGCAGACAGGGAUAACAGACGGAAACGACUGAUAACACCUGGUAUUGUCAGGCUGGCGCAUGCCGGCCUGAUGAAAGGAGACGCUGCAGGAGAGCCUUGCGUCCUAUUAGCUAGUUGGUGGGGUAACGGCCCACCAAGGCGACGAUAGGUAGCCGGCCUGAGAGGGUGAACGGCCACAAGGGGACUGAGAUACGGCCCUUACUCCUACGGGAGGCAGCAGUGGGGAAUAUUGGACAAUGGGGGCAACCCUGAUCCAGCAAUUCUGUGUGCACGAAGAAGGUUUUCGGAUUGUAAAGUGCUUUCAGCAGGGAAGAAGAAAGUGACGGUACCUGCAGAAGAAGCGACGGCUAAAUACGUG
rnacentral:rRNA from 1 species